rnacentral:tRNA from 1 species
CAAAAGGUAGUUUAAUUUAAGAUCUUAGCUUUGGGAGCUAAGGAUGAGGGUUAAAAUCCUUCCCUUUUGA